UUAAGAUGUAAAAUUUAAUUAGAGUAUUAAUAGUUAUUUUCUUUAAAUUCAAAAAAAUUGGCGGUAUUUUAUCUAAUUAGGGGAAUUUGUUUUAUAAAUGAUAAUCCACGAGGAACCUUACUUACUAAAAUAAAUUUGUGUAUUUCCGUUAUAAGAAAAUUUUUAAGGGGAAAAAAUUUUCUAUAUUUUAAAUUUAAAUCUAUUUCAGGUCAAAGUGCAGUUUAUGAGUGAGAAAAAAUGAGUUACAAUAAAAUUUAUUUAUACGGUUUUAUUUUUGAAAUAAAUUAAAUAAGGAGGACUUAAUAGUAAAUUUUAAAAUAGAAUUAAAUUGAAUUAAGAUCUAGAAUGUGU
rnacentral:rRNA from 1 species